rnacentral:rRNA from 1 species
GACGAACGCUGGCGGCGUGCCUAAUACAUGCAGGUAGAACGCUGAAGGAGGAGCUUGCUUCUCUGGAUGAGUUGCGAACGGGUGAGUAACGCGUAGGUAACCUGCCUGGUAGCGGGGGAUAACUAUUGGAAACGAUAGCUAAUACCGCAUAAUAUUGACUAUUGCAUGAUAGUCAGUUGAAAGGUGCAACUGCACCACUACCAGAUGGACCUGCGUUGUAUUAGCUAGUUGGUGGGGUAACGGCUCACCAAGGCGACGAUACAUAGCCGCCCUGGGAGGGUGAUCGGCCAAACUGGGACUGAGACACGGCCCAGACUCCUACGGGAGGCAGCAGUAGGGAAUCUUUGGCAAUGGACGGAAGUCUGACCGAGCAACGCCGCGGGAGUGAAGAAGGGUUUCGGAUCGUAAAGCUCUGUUGUAAGAGAAGAACGAGUGUGAGAGUGGAAAGCUCACACUGUGACGGUAGCUUAACAGAAAGGGACGGCUAACUACGUG